rnacentral:tRNA from 1 species
GUUGCUUAGUCAGUGAAGCAUCUGACUUCAGCUCAGGUCAUGAUCUCACAGUUCGUGGGUUCAAUCCCCAUC